rnacentral:rRNA from 1 species
UGAAUACGAGAUGCUACGGCGUCGAAGCAGUGUAUGUCAGACUUCCAAGAAAAGCUCGCAAUGUCAUAAAUAACGAAUGCCUGUACCAUAACCGACACAGGUGGGUAGGUAGAGUAUACUAAGGGGCGCGAGAUAACUCUCUCUAAGAACUCGGCAAAAUAACUCCGUAACUUCGGGAGAAGGAGUGCCUUCUUUAGAAGGUUGCAAUAACAAGAUCCAAGCAACUGUUUAUCAAAAACACAGGUCUCCGCGAAGUCGUAAGACGAUGUAUGGGGGCUGACGCCUGCCCAGUGCCAGAAGGUUAAAGAAAUUGGUUAGCCUUGCGAAGCUGAUGACUGAAGCCCUGGUGAACGGCGGCCGUAACGAUAACGGUCCUAAGGUAGCGAAAUUCCUUGUCGGGUAAGUUCCGACCCGCACGAAAGGCGUAAUGAUUUGGAUACUGUCUCGGAGAGGGACUCGGUGAAAUAGACUUGUCUGUGAAGAUGCGGACUACCUGCACCAGGACAGAAAGACCCUAUGAAGCUUUACUGUAACUUGAAAUUGAAAUUGGACUUUAUUUGCGCAGUAUAGGUGGAAGGCGUUGAAAGUAAUCUUGCGGGAUUAGUGGAGCCAUCAGUGAGAUACCACUCCUAUAAUGUUAGAUUUCUAACUUUGGAUCAUGAUCUGGUCAAAGAACAGUUUCAGGCGGGCAGUUUGACUGGGGCGGUCGCCUCCCAAAUGGUAACGGAGGCGUACAAAGGUUUCCUCUGAACGGGUAGAAAUCGUAUCUAGAGUGUAAAGGCAUAAGGAAGCUUGACUGUGAGACCUACAAGUCGAGCAGGGACGAAAGUCGGUCUUAGUGAUCUGACGGUGCUGAGUGGAAAGGCCGCCACUCAACGGAUAAAGGUUACUCUAAGGAUAACAGGCUGGUCUCCCCCAAGAGUUCACAUCGACGGGGAGGUUUGGCACCUCGAUGUCGGCUCAUCGCAUCCUGGGGCGGUAGUACGUCCCAAGGGUUGGGCUGUUCGCCCACGAAAGCGGUACGCGAGCUGGGUUCAGAACGUCGUGGGACAGUUCGGUCCAUAUCCGGUGUAGGCGUUAGAAUAUUGAGAGGAGCCUUCUUUAGUACGAGAGGACCGAGAAGGACAUACCUCUGGUGUACCAGUUAUCGUGCCAACGGUAAACGCUGGGUAGCUAUGUAUGGAGAGGAUAACCGCUGAAAGCAUCUAAGUGGGAAGCCCACCUCAAGAUGAGUAUUCUC